UACGUAGGGUGCAAGCGUUGUCCGGAAUUAUUGGGCGUAAAGAGCUCGUAGGCGGUGUGUCACGUCGGCCGUGAAAACCUGCAGCUUAACUGUGGGCGUGCGGUCGAUACGGGCAUCACUGGAGUUCGGCAGGGGAGACUGGAAUUCCGGGUGUAGUGGUGAAAUGCGUAGAGAUCCGGAGGAACACCAGAGGCGAAGCGGCCGACUGGACCGUGACCUGACGCUGAGGCGCGAAGGCGUGGGGAGCGAACGGG
rnacentral:rRNA from 1 species